rnacentral:misc_RNA from 1 species
AAGUCGUAACAAGGUUUCCGUAGGUGAACCUGCGGAAGGAUCAUUAACACGUUUAACACGUUUAAUAACCCCAAAACGUGCACCGUAACUGACUGAUCUCUAGACACGUGUGCUUUCGAUGAACUUUGAGGAGCGGAUGGAAGCUUCGGUUUCCAGUUCUCGACUGCGGUGUCUAGAUCGGUAAUAACCGCUCUUCACAUUAUUAACUCUUUGUAAAUUUUUGACUAAAUUGUGCUGGAAGUAAUUUUCUAUGCACGUUAAAUUUUAACAAAAGAACAACUCUUAGCAACGGAUAUCUCGGCUCUC